CCUACGGGUGGCUGCAGUGGGGAAUAUUGGACAAUGGGCGGAAGCCUGAUCCAGCAAUACCGCGUGUGUGAAGAAGGCCUGAGGGUUGUAAAGCACUUUCAAUAGGAAGGAAUACCUAUCCAUUAAUACUGGGUAGACUGACAUUACCUAUACAAGAAGCACCGGCUAACUCCGUGCCAGCAGCCGCGGUAAUACGGAGUGUGCAUGCGUUAAUCGGAAUUGCUGGGCGUAAAGCGUGUAUAGGCGGCGCGAAAGCCCCGGGCUUAAACUGGGAAUGGCAUGUGAUACUGGCGAGCUAGAGUUGAGUAGAGGGGAGUGGAAUUUCAGGUGUAGCGGUGAAAUGCGUAGAGAUCUGAAGGAACACCAGUGGCGAAGGCGACUCCCUGGACUCAAACUGACGCUGAGGUACGAAAGCGUGGGUAGCAAACAGGAUUAGAUACCCCAGUAGUC
rnacentral:rRNA from 1 species